AACCGUAAGAGUUACACGAUUGCAGGCCGACAGUAUAUAGAUAUAUAAUUUUUACAAAGUGAGACACCAAAGGGCGACCUUCAAGGAUCGAACUCUAGUGGGCUGCUAGCACACCUGGCUGGGUGACCACCCAAGCUAUGCUUGGUUCUCAUUGGAUGGGUAUUUCGCUAGUUUGUUUCAUGACAUAGAUGAGAGACUGGAUCCCCCUCUUGGGCACCAUCGUUGAAGCCCUCUUUGCCACUGCCGUUAUUGAAUCCUAAGCAUUGCCAUCGUGACCGAUGUCAAAUGCCUUCGUGUGCGCUGGUCAAACAGAAAUGUGG
rnacentral:lncRNA from 1 species